GUCCACGCCCUAAACGAUGUCAACUGGUUGUUGGACGGCUUGCUGUUCAGUAACGAAGCUAACGCGUGAAGUUGACCGCCUUGGGAGUACGGCCGCAAGGUUUAAACUCAAAGGAAUUGAUGGGGACCCGCACAAGCGGUGGAUGAUGUGGUUUAAUUCGAUGCAACGCGAAAACCUUACCUACCCUUGACAUGCCAGGAACUUGCCAGAGAUGGCUUGGUGCUCGAAAGAGAACCUGGACACAGGUGCUGCAUGGCCGUCGU
rnacentral:rRNA from 1 species